CGGCCGGGCCGAUGCAAGGGUCGGCCGUGAACCUGGUCAGGUCCGAGAGGAAGCAGCCAUAAACGGUCCCGGUUCUGUGCCGUCGUCUCCCGGCCGUCU
rnacentral:SRP_RNA from 1 species